rnacentral:rRNA from 1 species
UACGGAGGGGGCUAGCGUUGUUCGGAAUUACUGGGCGUAAAGCGCACGUAGGCGGACUGUUAAGUCGGGGGUGAAAUCCCGGGGCUCAACCUCGGAACUGCCUUUGAUACUGCAAAUCUCGAGUCCGGAAGAGGUGAGUGGAAUUCCUAGUGUAGAGGUGAAAUUCGUAGAUAUUAGGAAGAACACCAGUGGCGAAGGCGGCUCACUGGUCCGGUACUGACGCUGAGGUGCGAAAGCGUGGGGAGCAAACAGG